rnacentral:piRNA from 1 species
UAAUUGCCCUUGGCCAUUGUGAUUUCACCAGC